UCAACUAUAGCAUUCAAUGCAUUCACUAAUGCCAUUCUACUACGAGUCCAUCUCUAGUAUUUAUUGCAUUUAGAAAUGUCAUACAAUCCAUAUGUCAUAAUGUCAUUUUGUUCUAAACCUUUUCUAGAUUCUUAUCAUUACUCAUGCAUACAUACGGUUACACAAGUUUCAGCUCUUUUACAAUCAUUUCUCAUACAUUUGUACUCACAACAUGCAAAUAAAAACUCUCAAUUAACCCUAUCAUGCACAAUGCUCAAUAUACACUU
rnacentral:lncRNA from 1 species